ACUAAGUGUUACUUGUGGUUUUGCUCGUUUAAUUAAUUAUGGUGAGUUACGAUUAUUAUAUGAUUAAUAUAUGAAUUUUGUGAAUUUUGUGUUAUCUAGUUUAUUGAGCUGAAUGCUCGUAUGUGUUCGUAUUCGCGAGAUUUCAAUUUCUAUAUGCUCAGGAGAAAAUAUAGUUUAUUUGGAUAUUUUCAUAUCGAUUUAUGGAAUUUUAGAUGAUUUUAUAAUUGAUUUACGGAUUUAAUUGCGUAUAUUUAUAUUUAAUUAUUGAUUAUUUGAUUUCCGUAAAACCGUCCACUCGUAACGGUGUAGCAAAUUUUCUUCCCGGAAGUUUCGAGAAAACUCACCUUUAGCCUAAUUUGAAUAUUCCGAACAUUUUUCGUGUUUUGACUUUUUCGAUCCGGAGUACGGUUUUCCCCGGAGUCGGUCCGGCGGAGUUUUUCGGGUAUUUUAAUUGUUGAUAAUUAUCUAGUUUGUCUCGAUAUACGUGAAAGCUAGAUAUUUUGAUUAUUAUAUUACUUUUUAUCGAAAUACGUGCAAAUGGGACCCGCAGACUAAUCAUUGCUUUUAAAUGCCCCGUUUUGAUGAUUAUCUCGAAAACCGGUACCGAUUGGACCCCGCUUUAUUAAUAUAAAGCUAUUAAAUACGUAUUUCAUGUCAUAUACGAUCCAAAGGGGUACCAAUUAUUUGUAAAUAUAAAUAGACUUUCCUGUAACUUAUUUUCACCAUAAAAAUCAUUUCACCAGUUUCUUUUCACGAAUACCGAGAGAAACUGAACUGUGUUCUUCGUGUUCUUCGUAAUCAAACGAGGAUUUGAAGGUGUUAUUGGAAUCCGAUGGAGGCGUAUGAAUAGCCAAAACGAAGCUCUCGACGCGUAGAUUAUAGAUUAAUCAUCAAAACAAGCGCAGAAAGGAUUAAAGAUGAAUGGCUAGACUAUGAUUGCGAGUAAGGCUAAGGCUAGGCGAGGAUUCAGAGUUGAGGAUUCAGUGGUCAAGGAGUAUUCAGGAAGACUUAUAAAGUUGGUGCUAGCUAGAGUUGAGCUAUUGAGAUUCAGAUGUAAUUCAUAGCUGGAACAAAUUGGCAGUGAUUCUUCUUAUCGAAGAUGAUCUGAUUUGGUAAGAGAUGUUGUGUAAUAAUUAGUGAUGGAUUCUAAUUUCAAUACUGUAACCUGGAUGCGAUCCUGUUGAUUUUA